rnacentral:rRNA from 1 species
UGGAUCCAGACUUUGAUCCUGGCUCAGGAUGAACGCUGGCGGCGUGCCUAACACAUGCAAGUCGAACGGAGAUAAGAUGAAACCUAGUGAUUCUUAUCUUAGUGGCGGACGGGUGAGUAACACGUGGGUAACCUGCCUUGCACUGGGGGAUAACACUUAGAAAUAGGUGCUAAAACCGCAUAAGCGCACAGUCUCGCAUGAGACAGUGUGAAAAACUGAGGUGGUGUAAGAUGGACCCGCGUCUGGUUAGCUAGUUGGUGAGGUAAUGGCCCCCAAGGCGACGAUCAGUAGCCGGCCUGAGAGGGUGACCGGCCACAUUGGGACUGAGACACGGCCCAAACUCCUACGGGAGGCAGCAGUGGGGAAUAUUGCACAAUGGGGGAAACCCUGAUGCAGCAACGCCGCGUGAGUGAAGAAGUCAUUCGUGAUGUAAAGCUCUAUCAGCAGGGAAGAAAAUGACGGUACCUGAGUAAGAAGCCCCGGCUAACUACGUGCCAGCAGCCGCGGUAAUACGUAGGGGGCAAGCGUUAUCCGGAUUUACUGGGUGUAAAGGGAGCGUAGACGGCCAUGCAAGUCUGAAGUGAAAUGCCAGUGCUCAACACUGGAACUGCUUUGGAAACUGUAAGGCUGGAGUGCGGGAGAGGUAAGUGGAAUUCCUAGUGUAGCGGUGAAAUGCGUAGAUAUUAGGAGGAACACCAGUGGCGAAGGCGGCUUACUGGACCGUAACUGACGUUGAGGCUCGAAAGCGUGGGGAGCAAACAGGAUUAGAUACCCUGGUAGUCCACGCGGUAAACGAUGAUUACUAGGUGUUGGGGGGUAAUAACCCUUCGGUGCCGUCGCAAACGCA